rnacentral:rRNA from 1 species
UACGAAGGAUCCAAGCGUUAUCCGGAUUCAUUGGGUUUAAAGGGUGCGUAGGCGGGCAAAUAAGUCAGCGGUGAAAUCUCUCAGCUUAACUGAGAAACUGCCGUUGAUACUGUAUGUCUUGAGUAUAGAUGAUGUUGGCGGAAUAUGACAUGUAGCGGUGAAAUGCUUAGAUAUGUCAUAGAACACCGAUUGCGAAGGCAGCUGACAAAACUAUAACUGACGCUGAGGCACGAAAGUGCGGGGAUCAAACAGG